rnacentral:lncRNA from 1 species
CACCUGCGUCUACUACCCUAGCCCCACCCUUAAGAUUCCUACCACCUUUAAAGGACCACCCCCACCAGGAUCCAAAAUUAAGGUCUACUCUUUCCUCCUCCCUCUAGCAGGAAGUCAUCUCCCCCUACUUCCUCUGUGUUCCUACAACAUUUCAUUUCACACCACUUUUUGCCAUGUGCCAUUACUAUAUUUUCACUUGUUUAUAUCUCCUAUGAAAGCGUGUUGCGUCACAGGGCUCAUCAUUGUAACUCCAAUGCCCAGAACAGAGCCUUGUCACUGAUUAAGUGGACAAAAGCAAAAAAAAAAAAAAACGUGGCUGCAUGAUUUCCAUACUCAGGAGGCAGGUUUUGAGAAAAUCCUCAUUUGCAGCUAGCAAAUCUGGGAAGACUGCCUGGAGGAAGCUGUGGGUCUGGAAUCAGGAGAAACUUCUGAGUUUCCUCACUGCUUUCAGUUCUUCUCAUCCCUUUGGUCUCUGAUGUCUAAAAGGUGUUGAAAGCACUUUGGUAGAAAUCAGUAGUUUGUCAAGCUUGGUUACGGCUGUUUUUGGCAAAAAGAAGGGGAAAGAAGUGUGCACAGACUGGUGUGGUAACAAUUUAAGUUUUAUCCACAUAAGAUGUGGGAGACUGCUUGAAGUGACACAUUUCUGGCAGCUGAUUGUCCCUGAAAAAGAUAAAAGGAAGGAUGAGAAGAGAGCAUUUUGCAGGAGCUCUCGCCACUUCAGAAUCAAGCCACUUUUGUUUCUAAUUCUCAGAGAAGAGAAGGGAUGGGAGUAGCGAUUUUCUAAAGAGCGUCUUCCGUGUUUUCCAGCCUCGUAACCAGCCCACAGAGCAGACAAACCCAUUGAAGAGUGAGAAGCGCUGGAAGCCUCAGCCCACAGAGGAAUUCAAAUUUGUCACUGUGUCUUUUAAAGAGACUUUUAGCAUGACACAUGUUUUCUUUUCGAUGACCUUUGAUUCUCCUUCCAAGACAUAACGACUGACUCUUUGAAGAAACUCUCCCCUGCCAGGCGAUCUAAUCCAGAGGAAGAGACCCAAGACAGAGGAAUAAAAGAGCAAGAUAAAGUCUUUAAGUAAAAGAAACAUUUCUGGCCUCAGAUUCUAGUCCCGGCUUGCCUGUGACCCACCUCAUGACCGUGGGCAAGUAGCUUCAACGUCUUACGUUUCCCAGCAGUGAGUUCAUCAUUUCCUCCCCUCUGCUCCCAGAAUAUUUUCGACACCAUCUCCUCAUUGAAAUGUUAUGUGUAUUGCUUGUCUGUAAGCUACGUCCUCAGAGAUCCGCUCCCUGACCCUCCUAUGUAGAGUGGCUUCUCCCUCAUAUGCUCUGUCUCUGCCCCUCACUGGUCACCUUCAUAACCCUGGUCCCAGUUGGUCAUUAUUGUCUCUAUUUCUCUGCUUCGGUGGUAGAGUUUCUGGCUGUCUCCCCAACUGGGAUGCCAGCCUUGCAAGGGCAGCGUUCCAGCCUCUUUUGUUCACCAGCCCUGUGCCUCAGUGAAGUCAGGUCUCAGAGAUUGAUGGGGCACGUGUUGACUCCUCCAGGGGAUUCGAACUCCUCUUUUAGUCCAGGUUCUGGCACAGAGUUGGUCGUGUUGACAAAAGGAACAUGUCUCCACCCCUCACCUCACAUGUCAGCCUUGGCCCAUGAGAGAGGAAGCGCCUACUUCCAUCCUGGACUCAGGGUCUCUACCCCGUAUCACUUUCUCCCCAGAGGAGAAGGGAUUGUUCAAAUGAUUGGGUGGGCCCUGACAGUUCUGGCCCCUGAGUUGAGUGGACAAGGACACUCCACGGAAAGGUGCCAUGUAGCUAUGAAUACAGUCGAUUCUGCUUCCUGAGCAUGAGGAAGGACACGACUCCUGCCCCUUCUCUCAGCCUCUGGGCUCAAGUGUGGUGGACUGUUGCCCACUGCCUGCCUACCUACAAGAAGCAUCUUCUGGGGAGACUUCCGCCAGCCAUUCUUCCAUGUGACUUGUGACGGGAUGAGGUCAAGCCAGCCUCAUUUGUGUGAUUGUUUGGAUAAGUGAACUUGGGGUCAGCUUCACCAACCCAGACUUCUCACUUUGCAGACCUGAUUUCAUGAGCUGAAAUCUAGAUCUAGAAUGCGAGUCGGGCGUGCUGAAGUCUAGGCAAUACAGUCUUACUCAUGCAGUGGAGUAUUCUGUGCUUUCCCAGGCUUAAUAAAAUUGAAAUUUUAUUUUCUGUUUUGUUAUAGAUUUG